CCAGUAAAAGGCAGUCUUCUUCAGGAAGACUGUGAACAUAGAAAUAAAUGCCAUAUGUUAACUAUGCCACCAAUUUAAAUACCAUGGGACCCACUGUGAUCACCCAGGCCAGCUGGAGGAGAAAUUAGAUUUGGACAGAAGCUGUUCCUCAUGACCCGGGUCCUUGAUGGUUUUCACGCAGGACCUGCCCAGGGAACCCCAACAGCUUCUUUCCCAGGAGAUAAGUUGAAAACAUACCCAAGAUUCCUCUACAUAUGCCUUAGAAGAAAUAAAGGAAGACUGCAGGCUUCAACCCCACCUACUGCAGGCGGCUGGCCAGGGCCUCUCCCGUGCCAGGGGAGAGUGGCGGAAGAGAAGUCGAGUCCCUGUCCUCGAGAAGACGUGACCAUCGUGUGGGGCAGCGCUGGAAGAAGGGGCCGGCUGGGGAGCAGUGAGGAAAGAGGGGAUCUCAUAGAGGCUGCCAGGUAAAGGAAAUGACCUUGCAGCAGAGACUGGAAGGAUGAGGUGGUUUAAAAUGUAAACGCAAAAGGAGAGUGAGAGCCUCAGAAUGGCAAGGAGCUCAUCUGUCCGCAAGAGCCUGGUGCUUGCUGCACGGUGGGCUCUCACUGGUGGUGGAAUGACUCAAAGAAGAAGCCUCUCCUAGCCAGCAAGAUCCAGAUCUUAGGAAAAAAGUGGAUUAAUCUAGAGUGAACUGGCCACGACAUUCUACGCAGUAUAGAUAGAGAGCCUCAAGCUUUAAUCACUGGUGGUUUUCCUUAAGCUGGAGGUUUGAUUUCAGUGGCUCUGGGGCAGAGAUUUUGCAUUUCUCACAAGCUCCCAGGUGACACGGUGGCCCUAACCCACGGAUCUCGCUUGUCAUUCGUUUAAAUGCCUUACGGCAUUUGCCAAUUUUUCAAAGCUUUUCAGGUCUUCCUCUGGCCUGAUUUAAAAACACAAAAUUGAAAAGGCACUGAUUAUUAGAUGGAUGAGUACAAACUCGCUAGCUUCUCCCCGAAAGUAACCACGAUUCAGCGGAUUGAUAGAUCCUUAGAGUCCUUUUUCUACAUACUGAAGUAGGGAUUUCUGCAAACAACUGCUAUAAAGAAGAUCUUAUUCUUUGCUAUUUUACACGAAUCGAUCACCUAGCAAUAUUCUUGGCCAUUCUGCAUUAUUAUCUAUCGCUGUAUCUCAUUUUUUAAUAUCUAUGUAAUAGUCCACUUAUGGAAUUUAAAUUAAUCAAUCAAUAUAAACGGUAAUUUUCUCCUGGGGUAGAGGAACCCUGGAGGGUGACCAGGACGUGAAGAGUUUGUUAUUCUAGUAACUGAGAAAAUAUUCCACAAGAAUCUAGAACUCUCAUCUUGUCAGGUGGCAGUGAAUCUAUGAGACAGCCCCUACCCCAGAAAUGUGGUGAUUAAGGGAGAGCCCAUGAGCCUGGACGGCCCCGCCAGGAGACUGGUAACAAGACAGCGUUGGCACAUAAACCCCGUCUGAGGGAGCCCAGUGUGUGGGCACAGUUUCUUCCACUUCCCCCACUAGCUGACUGUGAAAGGUGGCUUGUUAUCAAAGUUCAGUUAAAAGCAGCCAAAAUGAUGAGUGCUCUGUUACUCACUGGCUCAGUGUUCCUCACAGAAACAGGAUCAUCGCACCUACGAAGAUGAAUGGUAGAAACAGGCUUGUCUGCUACUGAAAUGCAUGCCAUGUUGCUGGAAUUUUGGACAGCCUUAGAAGGUUCUGUCCUAGCCACACAGACAUUGUGCCUUUUGGUAGAUAAAAGCCCUGUCGCAUAUAAUUAUUAGCAUGUCUCAAGCCUUUCUGGGCACCAGGCAGUAGGAUAAGGGGUACCCUGAAAAUCCACAAAUAUCCGUUGAGCAGCUGCUCUGUGCCUCCAUGAUUAUAGGCAUUGGGCAAAGAGCAGUGAGCAGAACAGACCUCAGGUCUGCCCCAGGAAGUUUCCGGUCUCCUGGAGGAGACAGCCUCAACCACACAUAUAGAGCCACAGAGUGUACAGGUGUGAUGGAGGAGGGAAGAUGUCCAGGCAAAAGAAACAGCACAUGUCCAGCUAUGCAGCUCUAACUUGAAGAAUUUCGUCUACCGACUAGCAGUAUGACUUUGGACAGGACGAUUAACUGCUUAGGACUUCAUUUUUGUCAUCUGUAAAGUAAUAACAGUCACAGCUCAUGUUAUUCCGAGCCCCAAAGGUGCACCAUUCCAGCGAAUGAAUGGGGACCAGCGAGGAGCUUGUCGAAAGGGCGGGAACCCCCACUCCUGGUGGAGGGCUGGGCACAGCUGCCUUUGCAAUGCGGGCACCCCGGCUGGGGUCCUGUCCCUCAUCCUGCUGUGAACCCUAACCCAGAACUUUAUCUCUGAGAGGUGGGAAAUUACACUCUUUAUGUGUUGUUCCAUCACGUUUACCAUAAACGUGUGUUCUUUUGAUAAUAAUA